AUUGAACGCUGGCGGCAGGCUUAACACAUGCAAGUCGAGCGGAGAUGAGGUGCUUGCACCUUAUCUUAGCGGCGGACGGGUGAGUAAUGCUUAGGAAUCUGCCUAUUAGUGGGGGACAACAUUCCGAAAGGAAUGCUAAUACCGCAUACGUCCUACGGGAGAAAGCAGGGGAUCUUCGGACCUUGCGCUAAUAGAUGAGCCUAGGUCGGAUUAGCUAGUUGGUGGGGUAAAGGCCUACCAAGGCGACGAUCUGUAGCGGGUCUGAGAGGAUGAACCGCCACGCUAGGAAUGGGGCACGGCCCAGACUCCUACGGGAGGCAGCAGUGGGGAAUAUUGGACAAUGGGGGGAACCCUGAUCCAGCCAUGCCGCGUGUGUGAAGAAGGCCUUAUGGUUGUAAAGCACUUUAAGCGAGGAGGAGGCUACUGAGACUAAUACUCUUGGAUAGUGGACGUUACUCGCAGAAUAAGCACCGGCUAACUCUGUGCCAGCCGCCGCGGUAAUAC
rnacentral:rRNA from 1 species